rnacentral:rRNA from 1 species
AUUGAACGCUGGCGGCAGGCUUAACACAUGCAAGUCGAGCGGGGUGAUGGUGCUUGCACUAUCACUUAGCGGCGGACGGGUGAGUAAUGCUUAGGAAUCUGCCUAUAGUGGGGGACAACAUCUCGAAAGGGAUGCUAAUACCGCAUACGUCCUACGGGAGAAAGCAGGGGAUCACUUGUGACCUUGCGCUAAUAGAUGAGCCUAAGUCGGAUUAGCUAGUUGGUGGGGUAAAGGCCUACCAAGGCGACGAUCUGUAGCGGGUCUGAGAGGAUGAUCCGCCACACUGGGACUGAGACACGGCCCAGACUCCUACGGGAGGCAGCAGUGGGGAAUAUUGGACAAUGGGGGGAGCCCUGAUCCAGCCAUGCCGCGUGUGUGAAGAAGGCCUUAUGGUUGUAAAGCACUUUAAGCGAGGAGGAGGCUCUUUUGGUUAAUACCCAAGAUGAGUGGACGUUACUCGCAGAAUAAGCACCGGCUAACUCUGUGCCAGCAGCCGCGGUAA